GAUGAACGCUAGCUACAGGCUUAACACAUGCAAGUCGAGGGGAAACGAUAGAGAAAGCUUGCUUUUCUAGGCGUCGACCGGCGCACGGGUGAGUAACGCGUAUCCAACCUGCCCACCACUUGGGGAUAACCUUGCGAAAGUAAGACUAAUACCCAAUGACGUCUCUAGAAGACAUCUGAAAGAGAUUAAAGAUUUAUCGGUGAUGGAUGGGGAUGCGUCUGAUUAGCUUGUUGGCGGGGUAACGGCCCACCAAGGCGACGAUCAGUAGGGGUUCUGAGAGGAAGGUCCCCCCACAUUGGAACUGAGACACGGUCCAAACUCCUACGGGAGGCAGCAGUGAGGAAUAUUGGUCAAUGGACGAGAGUCUGAACCAGCCAAGUAGCGUGCAGGAUGACAGCCCUAUGGGUUGUAAACUGCUUUUAUAAGGGAAUAAAGUGAGUCUCGUGUGCCUUUUUGUAUGUACCGUAUGAAUAAGGAUCGGCUAACUCCGUGCCAGCAGCCG
rnacentral:rRNA from 1 species